CCUACGGGAGGCAGCAGUGGGGAAUAUUGCUCAAUGGGCGAAAGCCUGACGCAGCGACGCCGCGUGCGGGAUGAAGGUCUUCGGAUCGUUAACCUCUGUCAGCAGGGAAGAACGGUCACUGUGCUAAUCAGCAGUGAAUUGACGGUACCUGCAAAGGAAGCAACGGCUAACUCCGUGCCAGCAGCCGCGGUAAUACGGAGGGUGCGAGCGUUAAUCGGAAGUACUGGGCGGAAAGCGGUCGUAGGCGGUAUGUCAAGUCAAUGGGGAAAUCCCCGGGCUCAACGUUGGAACUGCCGUUGAAACUGGCAAACUGGAGUGUGUGAGAGGAUAGUGGAAUUCGAGGUGUAGGAGUGAAAUCCGUAGAUAUCUGGAGGAACAUCAGUGGCGAAGGCGACUAUCUGGCACAUAACUGACGCUGAGGAGCGAAAGCGUGGGUAGCGAACAGGAUUAGAUACCCCUGUAGUC
rnacentral:rRNA from 1 species